CAGUCGCCGCGGUAAUACGGAGGGAGCUAGCGUUGUUCGGAAUUACUGGGCGUAAAGGGCUCGCAGGCGGUUUCUUAAGUCUGAUGUGAAAGCCCCCGGCUCAACCGGGGAGGGUCAUUGGAAACUGGGAAACUUGAGUGCAGAAGAGGAGAGUGGAAUUCCACGUGUAGCGGUGAAAUGCGUAGAUAUUCGCAGGAACACCAGUGGCGAAGGCGGCUAACUGGUCCAUAACUGACGCUGAGGUGCGAAAGCGUGGGGAGCAAACAGGAUUAGAUACCCCAGUAGUCCCUGUCUCUUAUAC
rnacentral:rRNA from 1 species